UAAGGAAUAUUGGUCAAUGGAGGCAACUCUGAACCAGCCAUGCCGCGUGAAGGAUUAAGGCCCUCUGGGUUGUAAACUUCUUUUAUAUGGGAAGAAAUGUACUUUUUCUAAAGUGCUUGACGGUACCAUAGGAAUAAGCACCGGCUAACUCCGUGCCAGCAGCCGCGGUAAUACGGAGGGUGCAAGCGUUAUCCGGAUUUACUGGGUUUAAAGGGUGCGUAGGCGGAUGAAUAAGUCAGUGGUGAAAUCUCCGAGCUUAACUCGGAAACUGCCGUUGAUACUAUUUGUCUUGAAUAUUGUGGAGGUAAGCGGAAUAUGUCAUGUAGCGGUGAAAUGCUUAGAUAUGACAUAGAACACCGAUUUCGAAGGCAGCUUGCUACACAAUCAUUGACGCUGAGGCACGAAAGCGUGGGGA
rnacentral:rRNA from 1 species